UGGGGAAUAUUGCACAAUGGGCGCAAGCCUGAUGCAGCCAUGCCGCGUGUAUGAAGAAGGCCUUCGGGUUGUAAAGUACUUUCAGCGGGGAGGAAGGGAGUAAAGUUAAUACCUUUGCUCAUUGACGUUACCCGCAGAAGAAGCACCGGCUAACUCCGUGCCAGCAGCCGCGGUAAUACGGAGGGUGCAAGCGUUAAUCGGAAUUACUGGGCGUAAAGCGCACGCAGGCGGUUUGUUAAGUCAGAUGUGAAAUCCCCGGGCUCAACCUGGGAACUGCAUCUGAUACUGGCAAGCUUGAGUCUCGUAGAGGGGGGUAGAAUUCCAGGUGUAGCGGUGAAAUGCGUAGAGAUCUGGAGGAAUACCGGUGGCGAAGGCGGCCCCCCUGGACGAAGACUGACGCUCAGGUGCGAAAAGCGUGGGGCAGCAAAACAGGAUUAGAUACCCUGGUAGUCCACGCCGU
rnacentral:rRNA from 1 species